rnacentral:rRNA from 1 species
GACGAAGGAUGCAAGCGUUAUCCGGAUUCAUUGGGUUUAAAGGGAGCGUAGGUGGCCUUAUAAGUCAGUGGUGAAAUCUCUGGGCUUAACCCAGAAAUUGCCAUUGAUACUGUAGGGCUUGAGUACAGUUGCUGUGGGGCGGAAUAUGACAUGUAGUGGUGAAAUACAUAGAGAUGUCAUAGAACACCGAUUGCGAAGGCAGCUUACUAAAGUAUGAUUGACGCUGAGGCACGAAAGCGUGGGGAGUCAAACAGG